UCCCCGUUUUCCGGGGCAGUCCCUGUAGAGUUCCCGGCAUGACCCGCUGGCAACUACAGGCAAGGGUUGCGCUCGUUGCGGGACUUAACCCAACAUCUCACGACACGAGCUGACGACAACCAUGCAGCACCUCUGCUGGCUUCCUUGCGGAUCAGUCCAUGUUUCCAAAGACUUACUACCAGUAGUUCAAGCCCAGGUAAGGUUCUUCGCGUUGCGUCGAAUUAAACCACAUGCUCCACCGCUUGUGCGGGCCCCCGUCAAUUCCUUUGAGUUUCAACCUUGCGGCCGUACUCCCCAGGCGGCUCAUUUAAUGCGUUAGCUUCGGCGCGGAGGGGGUCGAUACCCCCCACACCUAGCACCCACCGUUUACGGCGUGGACUAC
rnacentral:misc_RNA from 1 species